rnacentral:rRNA from 1 species
AACGAACGCUGGCGGCAUGCCUAACACAUGCAAGUCGAACGAGACCUUCGGGUCUAGUGGCGCACGGGUGCGUAACGCGUGGGAACCUGCCCUUAGGUUCGGAAUAACUCCCCGAAAGGGGUGCUAAUACCGGAUAAUGUCUUCGGACCAAAGAUUUAUCGCCUUUGGAUGGGCCCGCGUUGGAUUAGCUAGUUGGUAGGGUAAAAGCCUACCAAGGCGACGAUCCAUAGCUGGUCUGAGAGGAUGAUCAGCCACACUGGGAGUGAGACACGGCCCAGACUCCUACGGGAGGCAGCAGUGGGGAAUAUUGGAAAGUGGGCGAAGGCCUGAUCCAGCAAUGCCGCGUGAGUGAUGAAGGCCUUAGGGUUGUAAAGCUCUUUUACCCGGGAUGAUAAUGACAUUACCGGGAGAAUAAGCUCCGGCUAACUCCGUG